rnacentral:tRNA from 3 species
GCCGGGGUAGCUCAGCCAGGCGGAGCACUCGGCUGUUAACCGAGGGGUCCCGGGUUCAAAUCCCGGCCCCGGCGCCA